GACGAGGGGUCCAAGCGUUGUUCGGAAUCAUUGGGCGUAAAGCGGGUGUAGGUGGCUUUGUAAGUCAGGAGUGAAAUCCCCGAGCUUAACUUGGGAAGUGCUUUUGAAACUGCAAAGCUUGAGUGUGGGAGAGGAUCGUGGAAUUCCAGGUGUAGUGGUGAAAUACGUAGAUAUCUGGAGGAACACCGGUGGCGAAGGCGGCGAUCUGGCCCAACACUGACACUGAGACCCGAAAGCGUGGGGAUCAAACAGG
rnacentral:rRNA from 1 species